GGUGCCAACUGCAUGACAGAGGCAGGCUCUCCCCGAUGGCAGGUCAGCAGGGCUCCUCCUGGCUCUGAGGCUUGUUCUCUCCUUGUCCCUCAUCAGCUCUGAGGCCUCAGCUCCUCCACUGUGACCUCCUUGCCUUGGGCAGGGGGUUCUGCUCCUCUCUAACUGGGAGGCAGUGCGUCAAGAAUUUAUGGAGUGGCCCCCGGGUGCCGAGGAUACAGCCAGAAUAAAGGAGACCAUGUUCCUUCUUGCAUCCUCGAGAGGGCUGGCAGAUGAUAACAGCAGUAUAAACUAUGAGCCCCGGCCUGGGAGAGAGUGAGCCAGGAGGAAAUGAGCCCACGCGGAGGACACAGGAAGUGCAAAGGCCACAGGGCGCAGCCUGCUCGGGCCUCUGGGGAACCGCCACCAGCUGGGGUGAAGGGUUUCGAUCCGACUGAGACUGAUGAGAAGUCAGGAGACGGUGUUUUCUUCAAGGCUCUUUCUGGCUGUGGGAAGAAACAGGGAGACCAUAGGAGGCUCCAUCGACGGCAGCCACAAGUCAAGAAGUACUAACAGUACCCAAAAAUGCUUCGUGGGGAAGACUAGAACCCAGUGCUCUGC
rnacentral:lncRNA from 1 species